rnacentral:rRNA from 1 species
AGUGAACGCUGGCGGUAGGCCUAACACAUGCAAGUCGAACGGCAGCACAGUAAGAGCUUGCUCUUACGGGUGGCGAGUGGCGGACGGGUGAGGAAUACAUCGGAAUCUACUUUUUCGUGGGGGAUAACGUAGGGAAACUUACGCUAAUACCGCAUACGACCUACGGGUGAAAGCAGGGGAUCUUCGGACCUUGCGCGAUUGAAUGAGCCGAUGUCGGAUUAGCUAGUUGGCGGGGUAAAGGCCCACCAAGGCGACGAUCCGUAGCGGGUCUGAGAGGAUGAUCAGCCACACUGGAACUGAGACACGGUCCAGAGUCCUACGGGAGGCAGCAGUGGGGAAUAUUGGACAAUGGGCGCAAGCCUGAUCCAGCCAUACCGCGUGGGUGAAGAAGGCCUUCGGGUUGUAAAGCCCUUUUGUUGGGAAAGAAAAGCAGCAGGUUAAUACCCCGCUGUUCUGACGGUACCCAAAGAAUAAGCACCGGCUAACUUCGUG